UGAGCAAUCUGCCCUUCUCAUCGGAAUAAGCGUUGGAAACGACGUCUAAUGCCGAAUACGAGCUCCUUUCGCAUGAUCGGAGGUGGAAAGCUCCGGCGGAGAAGGAUGAGCUCGCGGCCUAUCAGCUAGUUGGUGUGGGUAAUGGCCCACCAAGGCGACGACGGGUAGCCGGCCUGAGAGGGUGACCGGCCACACUGGGACUGAGACACGGCCCAGACUCCUAGGAGG
rnacentral:rRNA from 1 species